GGAGGAGGGAGGGAGGAGGAGGAGGGAGGGAGGAGGAAAGGUGGAGGAGGAGGAAGAGCAAAGGGAAGAGUGAAGAAGAAGAGGAGGAAGAGGAAUGGCAAAGGGAAGAGAGAGAAGAGGGAGAAGGAAGAAGAGGAGGAGAUUAUGCACGACACUUGUUAAAAUUGGAACACUGAGACGGUAUUAGCAGCCCAGUUCUUCAUUUGAGAAGACCAAAGCACAGAGGGGCUAAGUGAUUUGCCCGGGCCCACACAGCUGGGUUGUUGCUGAGCCAGCAUUUGAAACCAGGCUACAUCCUUGAAUCUCAGCUUGGACUUGGUAUCAUUCAGAGUCCUACCAAGAGAAUCAAAACCACUUCAGGGCCUCCACCACCAGUCUCUCAUGAAUGACUCUCCUUGUCAGGGCCCAGAUGGAAGCCAGCUGACAUGCAAGCCUGGGAACUGCAGCCUGCAGAGAUCAACAACCCCACGGAGUCACAGAGCAGAGCAGGUGUGACUAAGACGUGUUAAGGAUCUUGAAAAGAGAGACUGAAGCUGGGUUUUCUGGAUGGGCUUCAUAGACAGACACACAGAAGAAAAGGCAAUGUGAAGACAAGACAGAGGCCGGAUGGAGGUGAUGCCACCACAAGCCAAGGAAUGCUGGCAGCUGCUAGAAGCUGGAGGAGACGGGGAACAAAUUCUCUGCUAGAGCCUCCAGAGGAAAGACAGCCCUGUUCACAUCUUGAUUUCAGAAGUCUGGCCUCCAGAACUGCGAAAGAAUACGUGACUGUUAUCUUAAGCUACAAGUCUGUGUAUUGUGCUCCUCCAUCGUAUUCCCAAAACAGCAUCCCUGGCUUCUGUCCCGUGCCCAUUGUCCUUUCAUGCUGAAGCAGCUUAUUGCAUUGUCUUAUCUGUCCUACCAGGCUGACCUCCUUGAGGGCAGAAUUAGAUCUUGGAGAGAGAGCGCCCUAGUUCUCAACAUUGUGACGGGUAUAUAAUGGAUGACAAAUAAAUAUUAACUUGACUUUAGGUUUUAAG
rnacentral:lncRNA from 1 species